UGGCCGCGCGGGGCUGGCAGCGCCGCUGGAGCAUGGCGCUACCCCCCGCCCCCAGCAGCCGCUGCUGAGCCGCGCACCGCCAGCCCCUGCGCUAACGUCUGCAAUCCUGCCCUGCAGUGCCCCCUGCUGGCCUCCCAGCCUAACUCAGCCGCUCCACUCCCGGCUCCCUCCGUCCCACAGCCCAGCUGCUCCCUGCAAUGGGUGGGAGGAGGCUGGCUCAGGCCGCACUCACUAGUCUCUGCAAGGUGCUUGGAGAUCGCUGGCUGCAAGACAGAAGUGUUGGGCUGGCUGAUCUGGCAGAGGGCUGGAAGAGGAUGGAUAAAAGCCUAGGAGUGAUGGAAGACAUGGGAUAUGGUCAUUGAUGAUAAAUCAUGCAUGGGUAAGAACUGAUCCCAACAGAACCCCAAUAGAAACACAGCUGCUAGAUGAUGAUUCCCUGUUUACAGUUACAUUUUUAGACCUGUCAUUUAGCCAGGUUUUAAUCCAUUUAAUGUAUGCUGUGUUAAUUUUGCACCAGUCUAGUUUUUAAUUAAAAUAUUGUG